GAUGAACGCUGGCGGCGUGCCUAAUACAUGCAAGUCGAGCGAACAGACGAGGAGCUUGCUCCUCUGAUGUUAGCGGCGGACGGGUGAGUAACACGUGGAUAACCUACCUAUAAGACUGGGAUAACUUCGGGAAACCGGAGCUAAUACCGGAUAACAUGUUGAACCGCAUGGUUCAACAGUGAAAGACGGUCUUGCUGUCACUUAUAGAUGGAUCCGCGCCGCAUUAUCUAGUUGGUAAGGUAACGGCUUAACAAGGCAACGAUGCGUAGACGACCUGAGAGGGUGAUCGGCCAGACUGGAACUGAGACACGGUACAGACUCCUACGGGAGGCAGCAGAAGGGAAUAUUACGCAAUGGGCGAAAGCAUGACGGAGCAACGCCGCGUGAGUGAAGAAGGUCUUCGGAUCGUAAAACUCUGUUAUUAGGGAAGAACAAAUGUGUAAGUAACUAUGCACGUCUUGACGGUAACUAAUCAGAAAGCCACGGCUAACUACGUG
rnacentral:rRNA from 1 species